CCUACGGGAGGCAGCAGUGGGGAAUAUUGGACAAUGGGCGCAAGCCUGAUCCAGCAAUGCCGCGUGGGUGAAGAAGGUCUUCGGAUCGUAAAGCCCUUUCGGCGGGGACGAUGAUGACGGUACCCGCAGAAGAAGCCCCGGCUAACUUCGUGCCAGCAGCCGCGGUAAUACGAAAGGGGCUAGCGUUGCUCGGAAUUACUGGGCGUAAAGGGCGCGUAGGCGGCUUGGUCAGUCAGGCGUGAAAUUCCUGGGCUAAACCUGGGGACUGCGCUUGAUACGGCCAGGCUUGAGGCCGAGAGAGGGUGGUGGAAUUCCCAGUGUAGAGGUGAAAUUCGUAGAUAUUGGGAAGAACACCGGUGGCGAAGGCGACCACCUGGCUCGGUACUGACGCUGAGGCGCGACAGCGUGGGGAGCAAACAGGAUUAGAUACCC
rnacentral:rRNA from 1 species